GCUGUAUCUGUAGUUUACUCCUGCAAAAACUGAUGUUGCUACCAGAGUCCACGGAAAAAAUGUGGAUUUAGGGGAGCCUUCUGAGCCUUAGAGAGAAAGAAAAUGGAGCGUCUGUGACUCAGCCAAAGCCAGUGAAUAAAGCAGAAUUUUCACCCUCAGGGAAACAAUUAAGUCAAUUUGAAAACCUUUAGUUUAUUGUUGCAAACACGGGCAGCCUAAAGGAGAGAUUUCCAAGUUCACACAAAGUUACAGAGGUAAUGUGAUAUGGUAUUUAGUGGUACUGAACUUCUAAAGAAAUCUGUAUGUAUGGAUUUAUUUAAGCCUCUCCCCUUAAGAGAUACUAGCCUAAAUCACACCAGCCUACCUACUUUUUUUUUUUUUUUCUAUAUUCAAUGGUAACCAAUACAGUCACUUGUGUAUUUCAGUUAAGGACUCACUAUUCCCCAGCCAAUUAUCCUUUAAGACUUAUUGCUCUCCAAUGUGACCUCACAAACAAGAAAUUCCAAGUAAAAAUUCUCUCCAGAAUCAGACAAAAGGAGACGGAUGACUUAAAGUUGUCAAGGAUUGACCUGGGUCCUCACAUUGCUAGAGGAAGAUUUCUCUGAUGUUCCUGAACAUCCAGAGGGCCUGACGGAAGCUGCCUCCAGGAUCAACACCUCUCCCCUUCAUUGGCAAUCUGUGGACACUGAGCUUCCAAACUCACCAUGAAAUGCUCUUGAAGUGAAGGCUGUUCCUUGUCUAAGUACUGGUACUCUGAAAACACUGUCUGACUGGAAAACAAAUGAACAUGGAAAGGCAAAGGAUGACCCACGCUCUGUGUUCAGAGAUCACCAUGACACAAGUGAUCAUGGAUCUCUUUUGGCAGGCUCAGACAUCACCACUAACACUUCGUGCUGGCCUCUCCUCUAUGUGGUGGUGUACCUGGGAGAACAAGGUGAGAAAUGCAUGGAUUGUACUUAUACAUGUCACUGUCCCUGCUUGUGCCUCAGCACUAGGCAAAAUGCCAUUGAGUCAGUUGUCCCAACCCUGCAGUGUAACGUGGUUGGGGC
rnacentral:lncRNA from 1 species